GAUGAACGCUGGCGGCGUGCCUAAUACAUGCAAGUCGAGCGAACGGACGAGAAGCUUGCUUCUCUGAUGUUAGCGGCGGACGGGUGAGUAGCACGUGGAUAACCUACCUAUAAGACUGGGAUAAAUUCGGGAAACCGGAGCUAAUACCGGAUAAUAUUUUGAACCGCAUGGUUCAAAAGUGAAAGACGGUCUUGCUGUCACUUAUAGAUGGAUCCGCGCUGCAUUAGCUAGUUGGUAAGGUAACGGCUUACCAAGGCAACGAUGCAUAGCCGACCUGAGAGGGUGAUCGGCCACACUGGAACUGAGACACGGUCCAGACUCCUACGGGAGGCAGCAGUAGGGAAUCUUCCGCAAUGGGCGGAAGCCUGACGGAGCAACGCCGCGUGAGUGAUGAAGGUCUUCGGAUCGUAAAACUCUGUUAUUAGGGAAGAACAUAUGUGUAAGUAACUGUGCACAUCUUGACGGUACCUAAUCAGAAAGCCACGGCUAACUACGUG
rnacentral:rRNA from 1 species